rnacentral:lncRNA from 1 species
GUGCUCCAUGUUAGGGAAGGCUUCAUCUCUAGACUUCAGGGACAGUCUGCAGACCACAGGUGCACUGGAUCAGGCAGGAUGAUGCUGGCUAUAGAAAAGCCAGAGGGGAGGACCUUGGUUAUUGUUGCUUUUAAGAAUAUUACAUGGGGAGUAUCCGGGAUUUCAUCUUCUCCCAAAAAUGUUUGUCCCUUCUCAGGAAACAGGAACUUUCUAUGAGCCAGCC